CAACUCAUAAUUGGGGAAUUCGUAGGUUCAAUUCCUACUGGAUUCACGCCAAUGGGAACCUCCAAUAAGUCUAUUGAAAUUGGCUUUGUAUCAAUGGAAUCUCAUCAUCCAUACAUAACGAAUUGGUCCUUGCGGAAAGGAAAAAGAAUUUCACGCUCUUCCUUUCAGGAAGGGAGGAUUAGGGAAAUCCUCUUGGUUGCAGCUUUCUCCAGACCUCCAGGAAAAGCAUGAAAAAAAAAUGGCUCGAAUGGUACGAUCCCUCCGUCACCCCAGAAUGAAAGGGGUGAUCUCGUAGUUCUUGGUCUGUGAAGAUGCAUUGUUAGGUGCUCCAUUUUCUUUUCCCAUUGAGGCCUACCAUACGAUCUGUUAUAUAAAUAGGCAAAUGUUCCUUACCAUUAUGAAUAGCAAUUGUAUGGGCAAUCAUUGUGGGUAUAAUGGUAGAUGCUCAGGACAAGUUACUAUUAUUUCUUUUUCUACUUUUUUUAAUUAAGCUUAUCAAUUUUCUUAAUAAAUGAUUGACUACAAAAAGAUUUUUUUAGUGAACGUGCCACAACUUCCUCCUAUUUUUUUAUUUUUGUAAAGAUGAAGAAAGAAAUUCUAUUUUCUCGCCUAUUUACUACGCGACGAAGAAUCAAAUUCUCACUAUAUUUAUUCUUUUUUCUACUUCUGCUUCCAAGUGCAGGAUAACCCCAAGGGGUUGUGUGUUUUUUUCUACCAAUUGGGGCUCUACCUUCACCAUUGAAAUAGAACGAUACAUAUAAGCU
rnacentral:lncRNA from 1 species